GGGAUUGCCCUAGUAACGGCGAGUGAAGCGGCAACAGCUCAAAUUUGAAAUCUGGCCCUCGUGGUCCGAAUUGUAAUUUGUAGAGGAUGCUUUUGGUGCGGUGCCUUCCGAGUUCCCUGGAACGGGACGCCAGAGAGGGUGAGAGCCCCGUACGGUUGGACACCUACCCUAUAUAUAGCUCCUUCGACGAGUCGGGUAGUUUGGGAAUGCUGCUCUAAAUGGGAGGUAAAUUUCUUCUAAAGCUAAAUACCGGCCAGAGACCGAUAGCGCACAAGUAGAGUGAUCGAAAGAUGAAAAGCACUUUGAAAAGAGGGUUAAAUAGCACGUGAAAUUGUUGAAAGGGAAGCGUUUGCGACCAGACCUUUUCCAGGCGGAUCAUCCGGUGUUCUCACCGGUGCACUUCGCCUGGUUUAGGCCAGCAUCGGUUCUCGUAGGGGGAUAAAGGCCUGGGGAACGUAUCUCCUUCGGGAGUGUUAUAGCCCCUCGCGUAAUACCCUUACGGGGACCGAGGACCGCGCUCUGCAAGGAUGCUGGCGUAAUGGUCGUCAACGACCCGUCUUGAAACACGGACCAAGGAGUCGAACAUUUGUGCGAGUGUUUGGGUAUCAAACCCUCACGCGUAAUGAAAGUGAACGGAGGUGAGAGCCCUUCGGGGUGCAUCAUCGACCGAUCCUGAUGUCUUCGGAUGGAUUUGAGUAAGAGCAUAACUGUUCGGACCCGAAAGAUGGUGAACUAUGCGUGGAUAGGGUGAAGCCAGAGGAAACUCUGGUGGAGGCUCGCAGCGGUUCUGACGUGCAAAUCGAUCGUCAAAUCUGCGCAUGGGGGGCGAAAGUAUGUAUUAUCCCGAGGGUUUAGGCCCUCUCUCCUCUACAGGAUGCAGUAGACAGUAUGCUAACAACGACUUCUUCAG
rnacentral:rRNA from 1 species